UGAGGAAUAUUGGACAAUGGGCGCAAGCCUGAUCCAGCCAUGCCGCGUGCAGGAUGACGGUCCUAUGGAUUGUAAACUGCUUUUGUACAGGAAGAAACAGUUCUACGUGUAGAACCUUGACGGUACUAUAAGAAUAAGGAUCGGCUAACUCCGUGCCAGCAGCCGCGGUAAUACGGAGGAUCCAAGCGUUAUCCGGAAUCAUUGGGUUUAAAGGUCCGUAGGCGGUUAGAUAAGUCAGUGGUGAAAGCCCAUCGCUCAACGGUGGAACGGCCAUUGAUACUGUCUGACUUGAAUUAUUAGGAAGUAACUAGAAUAUGUAGUGUAGCGGUGAAAUGCUUAGAGAUUACAUGGAAUACCAAUUGCGAAGGCAGGUUACUACUAAUGGAUUGACGCUGAUGGACGAAAGCGUGGGUAGCGAACAGGAUUAGAUACCCAGUAGUCCCUGAGCGGGCUGGCAAGGCGCAU
rnacentral:rRNA from 1 species